UCGAGAAUCAUUCGCAAUGGGCGAAAGCCUGACGAUGCGACGCCGUGUGUAUGAUGAAGGCCUUCGGGUCGUAAAGUACUUUCGCUUAGGAACAAGAGAGUUUGGCUAAUAUCCAGACGAUUUGAGAGUAUUAGGUAAAGAAGCACCGGCUAACUCCGUGCCAGCAGCUGCGGUAAUACGGAGGGUGCAAGCAUUAAUCGGAUUUAUUGGGCGUAAAGGGCGCGUAGGCGGAUAUGAAAGUCAGAUGUGAAAUCCCGGAGCUUAACUCCGGAACAGCAUUUGAAACUCCAUAUCUAGAGGAUAGAAGGAGAAAACGGAAUUCCACAAGUAGCGGUGAAAUGCGUAGAUAUGUGGAAGAACACCGGUGGCGAAGGCGGUUUUCUAUUUUAGACCUGACGCUGAGGCGCGAAAGUAAGGGGAUCAAACAG
rnacentral:rRNA from 1 species